AAAAUAAGCUAAACCCAAACACCCCCUUGGUAAUUAUUAUUUACAACAAUGGAGAAUCGAGAAGAUCUAAACUCCAUUCUGGAGUUUCUGCCGGUGGUUUUCCGGUCACCGGCGCUCUUCUGGCCGUCAAAAGUGGUGGAAGCUCUAAAAGCACUCUCAAAAGGCCCCGAACACAGCAAGGUUGACUCCGGCGAAGUCCUGUUUCUCGCUAUUUCCGAUCUCCGUCAGUCUCUUUGCUUAUCCUCCGGUGCCCUAGCUUUCUCAACCGCUGACGGUUUCUCUCUCUAUUUCGAUGAUUUGAUGUCGCGAGCUGAAGCCAAUAAAUGGUUUGGAGAGGUACUUCCAGCUUUGGCAGAUUCUCUGUUGCGGCUUCCGGUGAUGCUAGAAGAUCACUAUAAGAGUGCAGACUCUGUUACUUGUGUGGGUGCCAGGGAUGGACUCAAAACUGGUCUUCGCCUCUUGAAGUCACAAGAGGCUGGAGUAGUUGUACUCAGUCAGGAACUGAUUGGUGCUCUUCUUGCAUGCGCUUUCUUUUGUCUGUUUCCGGACAGUACUAGAGGUGCCAACCAUCUUCAAGUGAUCAACUUUGAUCAUUUAUUUGCGAGCCUAUAUGACAACUACAACGAAAAACAGGAGAACAAAAUAAAAUGCCUCAUUCAUUAUUUUGGGAGAAUUUGUUCAAGUAUACCAGUAGGCAACGUCUCCUUUGAGAGGAAAGUGCUUGCAGUUGAUCCAAAUGUUAACUACAUUCCUCAUCCUGAGGCUGAAUCUUGGAGUAAAUCUGUGGCCCCAUUAUGCCUGUUUGAGGUUUGUAGCUCUGGCUUAAUAGAAGAUCAUUCCAAGGAAGCUCUCGAAGUAGAUUUUGCGAAUAAGUACUUUGGCGGUGGUGCUCUAACUAGAGGCUGCGUUCAGGAAGAGAUUCGUUUCAUGAUCAAUCCAGAAUUAAUAGCUGGAAUGCUUUUCUUGCCUUGUAUGGCAGAUAACGAGGCUAUAGAAGUUGUCGGUGCCGAAAGAUUCUCUCAAUAUACAGGAUAUGCUUCUUCUUUUCGGUUUUGUGGUGACUUCGUGGAUAAGAAAGAUACGGAUAUCAUGGGAAGACGUAAAACCAGGAUAAUUGCAAUCGAUGCUUUAGUCAAUCCCGGAAAGAGACAAUAUAGACAUGAAUUUCUUGUGAGGGAAGUUAACAAGGCAUUCUGUGGCUUUUCUGACCCCUGCAAGUCUCAUCGGUAUCAGUUACUAUUUAAAGAUGAUCGCUUUUCAGAAGCUGAGCUUGAUCAUGAUCUUAAAAGCGUUGCAAACAAUUCAGAUAAUAUUUUGGGAAUUGGUCCAUCUGCAAGCUUUGAAGAUGAAGUAGGGAUUGCUACAGGAAACUGGGGUUGUGGUGCGUUUGGAGGAGACCCUGAACUUAAGGCUAUAAUACAAUGGCUUGCUGCUUCUCAGGUGGUUCCAAGUUUCAAACUGAACCGUUAUAACCGUGAAGACCAAACCCUUUGGAUCUUAAACCGGACAAACUGGAUAACUUGCUUCAUUUUGGGCGGUUGGUCAGUUUCAACGGUUUCUAACACCCCUACAUGUUAAUACUUCCUUUUUUCUUACUUGUGUACUCUAAUAGCACCAUACAUUAUAUUCAGGCAUUGAGGCCUUUCAUGGUAUAUUACACAUUUGGCUUGGAGGCAUUACAAACAUUGGAUAAGGUAACAAAGUGGAUUACUUCACAUAGAUGGAAUGUGGGUGACCUUUGGAAUAUGAUAGCUGACUACUCAACACAGAGAUCAAAAAAGGAAACUCAAGUUGGCUUUUUCAACUGGCUUCUUCCAUUACUAUCAUCUGAUGAUCCCAUGAUAUUGGAUCCUUAGUAGUAUUACUGUAUGAUUAGUUGAAUAUUAUUGGGUAAAAACAUGAACCUCUGCUAAACUUUUUCGGUCAUAAUGUUAGUUUCAUAGUUAUGAUUUGAUGGAAGUGAAUGAGUGAACUUGUUAUCA